AUGGGAGGGUCGCGGCGCAAGUUCAAGCGAACCCGCACCAAGGUGCGCGUGGGGUUGCCGCGCAAGAAGCCGCGCGAGUUCAAGCCGGCCUUCGACCUGCCCGAGGCGCUCGCCGCCGCCGCCGCCGCAGAGGCCGGCGGCCACGUGCCGAGCUGGGACGCGGAAGGCAGCGUCGUGAAGAACUACUCCGCUUUCGGGGUCGUGGCCAACCCCAACCUGCUCGGCGCCCACUCCCGCGGCACGCGAGGCCUCGUCCAGAGCGCCUCGCUGCAGGCGCCCGACGUCGACGCCUUGCGCGCCCCCGUCGACGAGUUCGGCCCCGUCGACACCGGCAGUGAUCUCGAGUGCGAUGAUCUAAAAUCUGCACUUGGGAAGAAAAGGAGGGAUGGCAAAUCUGCACCUUUGGAGCCACUGACUAAAAUUCAACGACUAUGUAUUGGCAGAUUAAUAGAGAAGUAUGGCGACAACUACAAGGCCAUGUUCAUGGAUACCAAACUGAACUCAAUGCAGCACUCAGUGGGUACAUUGAAAAAGCUCUGUGAAAGAUACCAUGUUGGUGGCAAGACCAUCCUCUAUCCGAUGUAG
rnacentral:rRNA from 1 species